rnacentral:tRNA from 1 species
AAGGGAGACCUAAUUCAGGUAGGAGACGAAAAAAAAGUAGUCGCUACCAAGAAUCAAUCCCAAAAGGUCGGAGCGAGGCGAAAUUGGCUUUCAAACUAGGUUCUGGGUUCACACAAGACCUGAAUCAGGAACAAGGGCUGUUAGCUCAGGUGGUUAGAGCGCACCCCUGAUAAGGGUGAGGUCCCUGGUUCGAGUCCAGGAUGGCCCACCUGUACAGGUGGCAAAAAGAAAGAAAAGAAGCGAGGAAUCAGCACCUUAUCUUACUGACAUAGUAAGAGAGAAUGCUGGCUCUGAGUAAAGAGUCCAGAGGAACCUUGAAAACUGCAUAGAGCUAGGUGAAAAAGCCAAAAAAGAAGACCGCAA